UAUACAACAAAAAUUUGCUCA
rnacentral:piRNA from 1 species